AAGAUUAAACUUCACAGGAUCAUUUCUGUAGUAUAUCUUCACACAUUCUCAACUCGAAUUGAGAGAGGUUUGCAACCUCGAUGAUGAGGGGAAGUAUCGUUUUCUGAGCAAGUGGCAGGCCCUUGGAAUUCCACAAGGAAAUCUUCGUGGCCAAAGAUCAUUGUUCGACUGGAUUUUUCCAAUUUACGGAAACGAUACAAUCUAAGAGGU